rnacentral:rRNA from 1 species
UACGGAGGGUGCGAGCGUUGUCCGGAAUCACUGGGCGUAAAGGGCGCGUAGGCGGUCUGAUAAGUAGGGGGUGAAAUCCUGCGGCUUAACCGCAGGGCUGCCUUCUAAACUGUCAGGCUAGAGCACAGUAGAGGCAGGUGGAAUUCCCGGUGUAGCGGUGGAAUGCGUAGAGAUCGGGAAGAACAUCAGUGGCGAAGGCGGCCUGCUGGGCUGUUGCUGACGCUGAGGCGCGACAGCGUGGGGAGCAAACAGG